rnacentral:rRNA from 1 species
CCUACGGGAGGCAGCAGUGGGGAAUAUUGCACAAUGGGGGAAACCCUGAUGCAGCGACGCCGCGUGAGUGAAGAAGUAUUUCGGUAUGUAAAGCUCUAUCAGCAGGGAAGAAAAUGACGGUACCUGAUUAAGAAGCCCCGGCUAACUACGUGCCAGCAGCCGCGGUAAUACGUAGGGGGCGAGCGUUAUCCGGAUUUACUGGGUGUAAAGGGAGCGUAGACGGGAGAACAAGUCAGGAGUGAAAUGCCUGGGCUUAACCCAGGGACUGCUUUUGAAACUGUGAAUCUAGAGUGCAGGAGAGGUAAGUGGAAUUCCUAGUGUAGCGGUGAAAGGCGUAGAUAUUAGGAGGAACACCAGUGGCGAAGGCGGCUUACUGGACUGUAACUGACGUUGAGGCUCGAAAGCGUGGGGAGCAAACAGGAUUAGAUACCCGAGUAGUC